CACUGAAGAAUCUGCCAACCGUUCGACCUACCUCACCUCCUGAUAGAGGUUAGUCACUACUGUUGCAUAGGAUUAGUCAUAUUUUCACAAAAAAAGUAAUCUCUCAAAAUAUAUCUCCGCAGAUAUUUCUGAGUUUUAGUGGAUGCAGAAUAAGAAAGCACACAGAUCCUUAGACAUAACGUUAAAUUGACCAAGCAGAGCAGAGUCUGGUACAGGGUUGCUGCACUUCUGAGUGAUUGGUUUGGAAGCUGUCUUGUGUCCUUCUGGAAGUAAGGGCACUUCCCUGGGGAGCAAAUUUGACUCUUGCAUUUUCCCUGUGAGACCUUGUGGCUAACUCCCAUGGAUCCAGCAGAGAAGAGAGAGGAGUCGUGUGAACCCCUGCUAGUGCAUGAUCCUCACACAGGAGCAGUCUCCAGCAGCUCCUGGUUCCUCAAAUUACUCUGUCCAAAUGCUAAAUCUGCCCUUGAAAUACCCUUUUAUAUGUGUGUGCACACAUUUACUCAGCUAUACAGUUCUUGGCUAAAAACCACAGAGUGCUAAUAAGCAUCAGUAUAAAUGUCUUCUGUUGAAAAUUAAAGUGAUAAAAUCGUAA